rnacentral:rRNA from 1 species
GUCAUUUAGAGGAAGUAAAAGUCGUAACAAGGUUUCCGUAGGUGAACCUGCGGAAGGAUCAUUAAAGAGAGCUUCGGCUCCUUUUAUGCUAUCACCACAUUGCUGUUCCUAUCCUCGUUGCUUCCACCCUUAAAGGGCGGGCAUAACGCCUGCCUGAUGAGGGUGGGGGGCUUUAUAAAUUUAUUUUUGCUUAGUGUUUUUGUCUGAAUAUUUUGGAAAAUGGCUUUUAAAACUUUCAACAACGGAUCUCUUGGCUCCUGCAUCGAUGAAGAACGCAGCGAAAUGCGAUAAUUAAUGUGAAUUGCAGAAUUCCGUGAAUCAUCGAGUCUUUGAACGCACAUUGCGCCCUAUGGUAUUCCGUAGGGCAUGCCCGUCUCAGCGUCAGUGAACUCCCAUCAAGCUUGUAGCAUUUUUUUUGCAAUAGCUUGGAUAGUGUCAGGGAAGUUGCAACUGCCUUGCAAGUUACAACUCCUUGGAAAUACAUGGAUACUCGCACCAUCAUGUGUGGAACGUGAUGUACAUUUCUUCGUUCCAAAAACAUUAGGUUGAGUUAUCCGAAAAUCCACAUAUGCCUUCUGGUAUAAAAUUCUUGACUUGACCUGAGAUCGGGUAGGGAUACCCGCUGAACUUAAGCAUAUCAAUA